AGGAAGAAAUUCUGUACAGGAAGGGUAAUCAGACAUUGGAAUGGGCUGCCCAGGGAAGUGGUGGAUUCUCCAUCCCUGGGGGUUUUUAAGAUAAGACUGGAUGUGGCACUUAGUGCCAUGGUCUAGCAACCACGGUGGUAGUGGAUCAUGGGUUGGACUCGAUGAUCUUUGAGGUCCCUUCCAACCCAGCUGAUUCUAUAAUUCUAUGAUUCUAUGAUUCUACAGCACCUUGGUCACACGCCCUUGCACAAGGGCUGGGCGUGUGUUCCCUGGGCUCCUCUGGGCAGUGUCGUGACAGCAGCCCUAUUUGCUAACGGUAGUGGGACAGAGCACAGCGGGGACACACACAGGCGGGACAGGAGGUACCACCCGGCAAAGGCAGAGAAGGACACAGGGCACGGCGCUUCCACCAGAGCCCGCUGGAUGGCAGUGACAGGUCUGGGACGGAGUAGGUCCCUGCACAGCUCCCCUGGAUUUGCUCCCUGGAAAAGAGAGUGAAACCUAUUCUAGAGCCUGUAUCGUGAGCACACAGCAGAAACUAGAAAGGAUAUCACGGAAAAGUGCUGGCACGGGAGAACUGGUGCUCAGACAGGCCCAGACAGAGCCUCAGGGGAGACACAGGAAAGCAGGUGUGACAUAAGCAGCUGAAGUUCCCCCCUUUGGCCACUCAGAGGACACCUGUCCAGGUCUUCCACCAUCUUUCCUCAGGACCCAUUUGAACCAUGUUACUCAGUCCUCCUGAUGUGCAACGAUGUAGUCACAGACACAAGUCCCUUUUCCUGUGAUUACUGAUUUGACAUUCAGUCCUCUGACCCAGCCUGGGUAUGAUGGACAUCCAGGGGACACACAACAGUCUCUGGUCAUAGAGGAGCCAAUCCUUUUCUGGAGCACAUCUGAAGAGAUGAUGCAGGAGAGGACACGGUACAUGUCCCUCAGACACCUGCAGUGGCUGUGUGGCCCAUGGUAGCUCAGAGGCUGGCUGCUGUGUUUUCUGAGUCCCGCAUGUUCGUUCGAUCCUCAUUUUUUUCAGAAAGGAAAUGUUGGUGUCCUGGGAGCAGCAAGCACAGAAAAGCUCAUAUUCAGUUACUAUGCCUCAAAAGAAGGGUGGCCACAACCCUGACCCAGCAAAAACUGUCCUGGUUCAUUUUAUCCACUGGCCCUUCUGAUGUCCUUGAGAGUGUGAGGAAGGAGAGACUGUGCAAGCCUCUGGCCUGGCUCUUGUAGCUGGCACAGGCAGAUGUGUCCUGGAUGCACAGUACCCCUGCAUGCAGUCCUCUCCUUCCCUAAGGCGAGCAACAAAUUCACUGAGGCCUGCUUGUAGUGGCAGUCCACACCCUUUACCAUGAUGUGAAUGGAUGUUCUGGGUCACUGCAAGCUGCUUUUGGUAUGGAUUUCUUCUCCUUCCUGGCCAGGCACAUUUUUUCUUGAACAGUAUCUAGGUUUCCACCCUAUCAGUACUCACUCACCUCUCACUAAAUGUAAAACGCCUGUUUAAGCACUAAAACAACAUGACCUUGCAGAGUUUUCAUCUAUCUAUCUGUUAACAAGCAGGUUGAAAUUACUGGUUACAUGCCCAGCACUGCUACGCAAAGGCCAAGGAUCUUUAAUGCCUUUUUUUGUGGCUAACAAAAGCUGACAGCAAGCUUGCCUCUUACCCGUCUAUACUCUCUCUCCUCUAUGCCACAUGAAAUUGCUGCAGCCCUUUGAACUUGAUAAGAAGUAUUGUCAAUUAAUUUCAGCUCAACUGUGAGCCCAGCAGGCGCCUGCAGGGAGAAUGAAGCUAUGGAGGGGAAUGGGCAGCAGGGUGGUGCUGCUGCCUCGAGGCACUGGGUCGAGCUCAGUAGAAAGCUCUGGCAGAGGACACAGAGAGGGUUUUGCUUUCUCAUGGACAACAAAUCAUUUCCACAUCCAGGUGUAUGUUCAAAGAUCCCCACCUCCUGCAAAGGGAGCGAGCCUCCUGGGUGAGGAGAUGUGGUGUAAGUGCCUGGAGAUGUCUUCAAGGGGAUUUCCUUGAUAAAAGACAGGUGCCAUCACAGAAUGGCAUCCCACCUGCCCUGCUGCAAAUGGGUAUUUCUCAAGUCCACAGUAAGAUCCAGAGGUGCUCAAGGCACCAACUUCUUUUUCAACAGAACCUUAUAAUUUAAUUUUCUCAGGAGGAAGAAGAUAGCUUUUCACUAGCAGAGAAGUUGAAUCUUGAAAUAUUUGCCUUAAAACCCAGAGGCUGGAGUUCAGAUGUUUCUUAAAUAGGAGCUUAUCAAACUGUAAAUACCACUGUCAUCCAUCAUGAUAAGGAGAGACAGUUAUAUUGCAGGAAUCAUAUCACAGGAGAUACAGGUCAGCUGAGAAGGCUGAGUACAGAAAAGUACAGAGGUACAAAUAAACAAAAUUGCACCAUUUCCCUGGCAA